rnacentral:misc_RNA from 1 species
GAGAGAGAGAGAGAGAGUGUGUGAGGAGAGAGAGAGAAAGAGGUAUCUCCGGCGAUCGCCGGAAAAUGGCCUCCAAGGCCUCACCACCCUCCCCUCUUCUCUUGUUCGGCUUCCUCAUCCUCUUCCCGUUGGCGCAAUGCGGUGUCACAUACGACCGCAAGGCCCUCAUCAUCAACGGCCAGCGCCGGAUCCUCAUCUCCGGCUCCAUCCACUACCCCAGGAGCACCCCAGAGAUGUGGGAGGGCCUGAUUCAGAAGGCUAAAGAUGGUGGUCUUGAUGUCGUGGAGACGUACAUCUUCUGGAACGGCCAUGAGCCGUCACCUGGCAGUUACAAUUUUGAGGGGAGGUAUGAUCUGGUGAGAUUCAUCAAGACAGUGCACAAUGCUGGCUUGUAUGCCCUUAUCCGCAUUGGGCCUUAUGUUUG